GUGUCAGCAGCCGCGGUAAUACGGGGGGUGCAAGCGUUGUUCGGAAUCAUUGGGCGUAAAGGGCGUGUAGGCGGCUUGGUAAGUCAGAUGUGAAAGCCCUGGGCUUAACCCAGGAAGUGCAUUUGAAACUGUCAGGCUUGAGUAGGGAAGAGGAAGGUGGAAUUCCUGGUGUAGAGGUGAAAUUCGUAGAUAUCAGGAGGAACACCGGUGGCGAAGGCGACCUUCUGGUCCUAUACUGACGCUGAGACGCGAAAGCAUGGGUAGCAAACAGGAUUAGAAACCCGUGUAGUCC
rnacentral:rRNA from 1 species